UGCAAGUUCUCUUUCUAAUGAGGGCAUAUUAAAUACACAAGAAUCAUAUCCUUCAAAAUUAAAUCCCACACUUCUCAAAAUUUACACUGACAAUUUUCCUGGAAGGUUCUCUGUGACAGGACUCUAAAUUUGAGCAGGAGCAGCUUUGAUGUAAGCAUCAUCAUCCACAUGACAACAUAAAACUAUUAGUUUGGGUAACCAAAAUGCCAAGUCAUUCUUCUUUUUCUUUUUUACAAAAAAAUAAUAAUUAUAUCAAUAAAUUCGAGUAUGCUAGCCAUUACACCUUUGACAUGUGCAUCAAUUUUCAAACACAACAUAGGCCACCAUGUUUGUUUUAAUAAAUAGUACAUAUUGUAAGAGGUUGUGAAGAACUGGGUGUUAGGUCAUCUUACUACCAAACCUCAAGCAAAUUAUUCAGUUAUAAUAUCUUUCAACUUAGCUAAUUAUACCAUUAGAAACAGUUAUCUUAAGCACCAUUUGGAGCUUAAAAUGACCUUAUGUCGAAAGAAAUUAUUUAAUUUGACACAAACAUAAUUAGGGGUCGUUUGGUAGGGUGCAUAAGAAUAAUGCUGAAUAUUGUGUAGUAGUAAUGCUGGUAUUAGUUAUGCUUGCAUUAGUUAUGCUGACAUAUUUCUUAUCCAUUGUUUGGUUUGAUGUAUUAAAGCAUUGCACAAUUUCUAAAAGAAUUUCUUAUUUACAAAAAUAUCCUCAAAACCAGUCCAUCACUCUAACUUUCUAAAAGAAACAUAUNNNNNNNNNNNNNNNNNNNNNNNNNNNNNNNNNNNNNNNNNNNNNNNNNNUAGCACAUUUUAAUCAAGCAUAAAUUUUGAAGGACAAUUUUGUCUUUAACUAAGCUAAUGCAUGUAUUAAAAACCAUUGCAUUGCUAAUACCAUGGUUUUCUAUGCAUUAGUUAUGCAUAGGAUAAUACAAAUAGAAUGUAUAACUAAUGCUUGCAUAACUAAUGCAUAGGUUCAAAAUAUUUACCAAACAAAGUAUUAUUAAUACACAAAGCUAAUGCAUGCAUUAUUUUAUCUAAUGCAUCCUACCAAACGACCCCUUAUAUGUAUAUAACACUAUACACCUAAACAGAAAAAUGUUAUACAACCAAUGCAUAUAAACUACAACGCAUAAGUGUUAUCUUUCUCAUAUAACCGCAUAAUAGAUCGUAGCUAGAAACCCAAAAGUAUACUGCUACACACGAAGGGAAAGCAAAUCCAGGGGAGAAAAACAGAAUAAGUAGAUAAAAACUGAAAUCUUGUCAAGGAUGACAUGAUUUCAAAUAAGAAGUUCCUCUUCAAUAUAAAUAUUCAUUUGUGCGUUAGAGUCCGAUCAUCUGAAUUUGAGCUUUGUUUUUCUAUAUCUUUGCGCAACAUUUUUUUAUAUCAAAUCUACCUAGUAAAAUCGGUCAUCUAAAUACUACUAUCAGCUAUCUUUUUCCUUUUUUUUUUUGGUUGAAUGAGAUGUAAGACUCUAUUUUGAAUAUUCAUACUACUUUGUGAAAAACUCUUUGUUCGUUGUAUAGCCAUUAAUUACUUGCACCUUGUUAGGAAUGGCCACUUAUUUCUUCUUCUUUUUCUGAGCAUGUUGUCAAAUGCAUAAAUUCAUAUUCUGAUAAAAGAGGAGCAAUAUAGAAUCUAUAAUACUUUAUCAGCAAUGUACAAAAUAUAUCUUCACCGGUUCAGUUACUCAAUUUAGAAGAGUAUUAAAUAUAUCAGUCCAAGUUCAAUAAAUAAUAUGGAUUUAUAGCCAUGCUACUCUUGUCAAAAGUUAAGGCUACUGUCUGAUAUACAUAUAUAGUUGAUAUAGUAUGUCUUCCCAGUGAAAGACUGUGAUGUUAGAUUGUUCAUAGUUUUAGUGCUACAUCUUGAUGUGCUUAAAUUUCUCUAUCCAUUCUCCUAAAUUUCUUGAACCCAAUCAUAAAAUAUUAUGCUCCUUGCCAAGAAUCUACCCAUCAAAAUGUAAUUUGACUAUUUGCAUUAAAUUUGACAAUUAUAUAAUAAUAUGCCUUGUUCGAAUCCUUAAAGAAACUACAGAAAGACAGCAAGUAUGAAGCCUUGCACUAUAACUGAAGUAAAAGAAAUUUAUGAAGUCAAGUAGUGCGACUUUUUCACUCUACCUCAAAAGCCAAGUAAGAAAGCAAUCCUUCAAAGGGAAGGUAGUAGUAUCAAUAGAAGCAUCACAACAAAAUUAUAGAACCCACAAUAUAAACACAACCUUUUUGCUAAGCUGGUAGUAACAAUAAGUAAAAGUAAGUGUUACACAGGAAGGGAAGAGGAAAAAAUGAUUGUGGUGCAUUUGAGUAGUGCUAGCUCCGCAUGGACUAAAUGUUCAACAUGUUCAAGAAAUAAUAGCAACCAAAGAUGACCAAAUAAAAGCUUCACAAAUUUAUGAUUGGAUAAAUUAUUGUUUUUGCAACUCUUUUGUUUAUUUUAUUCUUCUUGAAUUUCAGUUAUAUAACCAUGCCUUAAGCACCAAUCUGACAGAUAAGUUAGUAAUAUAGAAGUACUACUUUAAAAAAACGCAUUAAUUUCUUUUGAAUACAGAGAUGGAGCAACAUAGAGAUGAUCAACAGUAAUUCAAACUGAGCAGGACCUUUAGCUUUAUUAAUAAUAUAGGCGAUGUAUCACUUUUUUUCUACCAUUAGGGAAAACUUUAAUUCCCUUUCUGAAAAAAUACAUUAAUUUCUUUUGAAUACAGAGAUGGAGUAACAUAGAGGUGAUCAGCAGCAAUUCAAACUGAGCAGGAUCUUUUGCUUUAUUAAUAAUAUAGGUGAUGUAUCAACUUUUUUCUACCAUUAGGGAAAACUUUAAUUCCCUUUCCGAAAAAGAUAUGGAUUUCUUUAAAUUUAAUUGUACCUCAAAACUGACUUAAAGUGAAUUCAUGUUUCUAACGCUAAGAAAAAUUCUAGGAAAGUCAAACAUAUGAAGCUCAAGCACUUCGCCAAAGUAAAAAUAGCAUCAUUUAUAGUGCUAUAUCCACUUUUUUAGAAUACGUGCUACUAUUGAAAAUAGUAUAACAUACAGUAUUGAACUCCACUUCUCUCAGAAUAUAAUAUUUACUACUACAUGAUGUGAUUCUUCUCUACUGUUUGCUUUGGCUUUCUUUCCACUUUUUUUCCUUCUCCGAAUCCAAAAGGUGCAACGGCCAAAAAAUGUGAAAUAUACACAAAGUUCAUGAGAGAAUCAGUUUGGUUUGGAACAAUGAUAAAGAACUAUUCUGCCAAUCUCCUAACACAGAUGGACAGCAGAUCCUACAUCCUAGAUGAUUACUGACAUUACAACAUAUUUUGGAUUGACACGUUACAACACUCAUUUCGAGGGGGAAAUGGUAACCCAUAGUAUUUCUUCCAACACUACUAGUCAUAACAAUAUCUCAAACACUAAACCUGUAGAUCUUUAUUUUUAUUACAAUAGAGAAUAGUGGAAACACCAUUAUUGUAUUGAAAUUAACAAUUGGAGAACAUAACAUUACAUACCUUCCUCUUCCGAUAAAUUGGAGAAUUUCUCAAAUUUCAGUCCUUGAUCUUGUCAGCACUAGUUUGAGUGGCACAAAAAUUCUCUUCCUAUACUAACCGGAAAGAGAAUGAAGAUAUUAUGCAAUCAUAUAAUUUAUUUGUGCUCUCUGAUAAAAAUAGAGGGACCAUGAGCACAGAGUUAAAAAGCUAAUGUGCCUUCAAGUUAACUUUAAUCACAAACCUAUGUUUCAUGUAUAAUUUGAAGCUACAGCAACAAAUAAGCAACUUACAUCAGGAUGGUUGUGAGGAAUAAUCAAUGGCUCCUUAGCGUUUCUCUUUACUUUUGAUGUUGUUGAUAAUCAAAUUGCAAACUUGGUUCUUGAACUUUGAUGAAGCCAAGAUUCUUUUGGCCAUGAAACUACUGAAGGUUGGUCAUUGACGCCUGAAGUCGUCCUCACUUUCUUCUCACAACAUCUCUUUAGCUUUCUAUUUUUAGUCACUAUCACACAACGUCACUAAUUGUUCUUCCCGUAAUCCUUAAAAUUUGCCGAAAAUAAUUGGUUCUAAGUUUUUCUGAUUCUUAAGGAAGAGAAUGUUGGCUAUAAACAUUGAAAAUUGGGGACAAAAGGGUGGGGAAGCCGAUGGAGGUUGCAGGGCAUAGGUUGAAAUCCAAAUCAAAACCUGCCGGAAAUUCUCAUCCUCAGUUUAAGCCAUACAUUCAUUUUAAAUUUGCGAAAGCAUCAUUUUUCCUAUUUAAAGGUGAUUUUUUAGUAGGUACUACUAUUACGUUUCCAUAUUUGUCCCUCUUUUUCUCUUUUUUUUCUUUCAAUCACUCCUUUACUCUUUACUUUUGAUGUUCUGGUUAAGGAUUUUAUUAUAUUUAUCCUUUUCAGAACUUGACAUAAAAAACGUCUUCAAAAAAUAUGCUAAGUGGACCUUUUUCAGUAAAUGGUUUCAUUCUUUAUAGAUACCGAUGAAAAUAAAGCAGUUGUUAAGGUUCAACACAUUGACUUCACAUGGAAAUGUCACUUUGAACAUACUUAAACAGGCAAAGUUUACUAUCACAUUCUUAAUAUUUCAGCAACAUAAUAACAUGCAAGGUUUACUAUCGAAUUAAUACCUUUUCAGCUAAAUAAGGAUAUGCAUAUCAAAAUUAGGCACAAAGACUGACAUGCAUUACCAGAAUUAAGCAACAAAAGAGCCCAAAGAAGGGGACUACCAACACAUGACCAUCAAAUUCCCAUAAUCAACAUAAAGCUGCAAUAAAAAAAGAAAUAGGAGAGAAGAAAAAAUGCGAUGCAGUGAAAGCAAUAACCACAAAUACUUCUUGUAAUUUACUCGACAAUAAUAAGAGUUCAGCCAAUACCUCUCAAAUAUGAGCACCAAUGAUCACUAUCGUAAUUUCUUGGAGGUAUCGCUUGUUUCUUCAGAAAUUUUUUCAAACCCUAGUUUAACAUCUCAAGUUCCUUAAAUUAAUAAAUUACCCACAUAAAACACUUACUGGAGUAAAUACUAAUCAGAACCAGGAUUUUUUAUCUCCAAUGAGAGAAAGGAAGGCGGAAUAGAUUUAAAAAAAGGGUAAAAAGAAUUGGAGAAAAACCAGAGAAGGAGAGC
rnacentral:lncRNA from 1 species